rfam:Schizophyllum commune H4-8 unplaced genomic scaffold SCHCOscaffold_12, whole genome shotgun sequence.
GCCCGAGUUGUCUAAUGGUUAUGACGUUGCUUUCCGGAGAAGGAUCAGGCAGAGGUUGCGGGUUCGAAUCCCGUCUCGGGUU